GACAGAGGUGCCGAGCGUUAGGCGGAAUCACUGGGCUUAAAGCGUGUGUAGGCGGGUCGUUAAGUGUCUUGUGAAAUCCCACCGCUCAACGGUGGAACUGCUGGGCAUACUGGCGAUCUUGAGCCACCUAGGGGCAGACGGAACAAGCGGUGGAGCGGUGAAAUGCGUAGAUAUCUGGAGGAACACCGGUGGCGAAGGCGGCAUCCUGGACCAAUUCUGACGCUGAUGAGCGAAAGCCAGGGGAGCAAACGGG
rnacentral:rRNA from 1 species